rnacentral:misc_RNA from 1 species
ACAGGCCAAAGGCUCGUUGGAGGGAGUCGUCUUCAAGUCACUAUGGAUCGUAUCGCGAUUUUGCUCGCUGGGGAGGAUCCAACGAGUUUCGCAGGCCUCCAGGUCAUGUUAAGCAGGGUGUUUGGCACCUGUUUACUGAAGAAUCUGGACAUGGGUAUACACCCUUUCGAUCCAGUGAUAGGAUACUGGAAGAGAAGAAUUUCCGGCCAUCAGUUUCACGAGGAGAUGGUAAACAUGGAAGGAAUGGUCGGGACAAUAGGGGAUCUUUUGGCCAGAGG